AACGAACGCUGGCGGCAGGCUUAACACAUGCAAGUCGAACGCAUCCUUCGGGGUGAGUGGCAGACGGGUGAGUAACGCGUGGGGACGUGCCCUUCAGUUCGGGAUAACCCAGGGAAACUUGGGCUAAUACCGGAUACGUGCGAGAGCAGAAAGAUUUAUCGCUGAAGGAUCGGCCCGCGUCUGAUUAGCUAGUUGGUGGGGUAAUGGCCCACCAAGGCGACGAUCAGUAGCUGGUCUGAGAGGAUGAUCAGCCACAUUGGGACUGAGACACGGCCCAAACUCCUACGGGAGGCAGCAGUGGGGAAUAUUGGACAAUGGGCGCAAGCCUGAUCCAGCCAUGCCGCGUGAGUGAUGAAGGCCUUAGGGUUGUAAAGCUCUUUCGUCCGGGACGAUAAUGACGGUACCGGGAGAAGAAGCCCCGGCUAACUUCGUGCCAGCCGCCGCCGUAAUAC
rnacentral:rRNA from 1 species